rnacentral:rRNA from 1 species
GAUGAACGCUAGCGAUAGGCCUAACACAUGCAAGUCGAGGGGCAUCACAUGAAGUAGCAAUACGGAUGGUGGCGACCGGCGCACGGGUGAGUAACGCGUAUGCAACCUGCCUACAACAGGGGGGAUAACCCGUUGAAAAGACGGACUAAAUACCCCCAUAAACACAGGGGUCCCGCAUGGGAAAUAUUUGUUAAAAGAUUUAUCGGUUGUAGAUGGGCAUGCGUUCCAUUAGCUAGUUGGUGAGGUAAGGGCUCACCAAGGCAACGAUGGAUAGGGGAACUGAGAGGUUUAUCCCCCACACUGGGUACUGAGACACGGACCAGACUCUAC